rnacentral:rRNA from 1 species
GUCCACGCCGUAAACGAUGGGUACUAGGUGUUGGGGUAUUGACCCCUCCAGUGCCGCAGUUAACGCACUAAGUACCCCGCCUGGGAAGUACGGCCGCAAGGCUAAAACUCAAAGGAAUUGACGGGGGCCCGCACAAGCGGUGGAGCAUGUGGUUUAAUUCGACGCAACGCGAAGAACCUUACCUGGGCUUGACAUCCCGGGAAUCCUCUGGAAACAGGGGGGUGCCCGCAAGGGAACCCGGAGACAGGUGCUGCAUGGCUGUCGU